rnacentral:lncRNA from 1 species
CUGAGGCAUUUUGUGUUUUACAUAAUGUUGCCACAUACACUGUUGCAUUUGAGCCUUGCACGAAUCCCAAGGGCGGAGUGGGGCAGGUCCAAAUAUCAACCACUUUCUUUCUCAGAUGACCAGGACAAAGACCUAGAGAGAGGGCACAUGGCCGGACUUGGAUCUUUGGACUUCAAGUCUGUGUUCUUCCAAGACCAAGAAAAAGGUGCAAAAUGGGGGUCUGUGAGGCUUGGAUUGUUUUCUGUGGUCAGUGGUGGCUUAAGGGAUUGUUCAGACUUUCUUGACCCACCUCCGCUGAAUCCUUAGUUUGACUGGUGCUGCUAUCGAUCCUCCAGGUACUUGUCAGCACUAUCUCAUUUAAUCUGAUCUAUGAUGCUAGGAGACAGGUUCCGUUAUUAAUCCCGUUUUACAGAGGAGGAAGGUGAAGCUCAGAAGGAAUGACAAUCUGAAGGUCAUACAGACAGUGAACAGUCUAGAUUUAAACCCAGGAAUGGAAAUUCCAGAGGCUGAGCCCCCAACCACCCACCAUUUUGAUGAUUUCAUUCUCUGCAUAAAAUCAGGAGUCAUGCAGUAAGCAGCCUCCAGGGCCCACAGGGAGGCCAUGAGCCCUGGACAGUGCACAGACGUGAUGCUGUCUCUGUUUGCUGAGACGUGGAGGUGCCCUGUCCUGGGUCUUCCCUCCACAGAUUCCUGGGGCUCCUUCCAGGUCCGUGCACAGUAAAGCUGGGAUGGCUGCAUUCACACGGCUGGAACUGCACAAAGAAAAUCAUCCAAGGAGGAGCAGACUGAGGCCUCGCUCUCAAUGGCCAGUGUCCAUCGCCGAGGGUUCACCAGUCUGGACACUGGUGGAUAUGGAUGUUGGGGUCAAACAAAGUCAGGUUCUAAGCCAGCUAGGUGACCUCAGGCAGC